CGUACUCAGAGUGAAUCAUCGAAUCUUUGAACGCACCUUGCACGCGGAGAGUCCAUUUCCGCGUAUACCUGUUUGAGUAACAUAACAUCGACACACUUCUCGGCUGCCUCGGCGGACGAGAGAGCUGGGCCGUCCGGCUUCGGCCGGUGGCUCGAAAUGCAGCGAGGAGACACAGAGCUGUGCCAAGUGAGGAGAUUGGCAUCCGUGCAAGCAAUCACGCGGCUGCUCGUUGGCUCCGGCGUGCGGACUGCGGGUGCUGCAACACAGCACAAGCAGACGGCACACACCAGUGCACCGCACCAUAUGAUGUGGUGCACGCAACAGUGUUCUCAAAUCAGGCAAGACCACCCGCUGAACUUAAGCAUAUCAAUAAGCGGAGG
rnacentral:rRNA from 1 species